GAAGGUUUGCUGGGAACAUGGACAGAACUGCUGCCAAAAACCUGCUGCUGUCCCGGUCUGAUGGGACGUUCCUCGUGCGGCAGAAAGAUGGAGGAGAGUUUGCAAUCAGCAUCAAGUUCAACAUGGACAUCCGACACAUUAAGAUCACGUCCACUGACGGCCUGUAUCGCAUCAAUGAGAAGAAAGCCUUCAAGGGAAUAAUCGAGAUGAUUCAGUUUUACCAGCAGAACUCUCUGAAGGAG